CUGGGAGGGCUCGGGAAAGGGGAAAUAGCAGCCCAGGUGAGAAAGGAGCGUACGGAAAGGGUGGCAGGGCUGGCUGGUCCUCACCAGAUAGGUGAGACUAUGCAAGAUAAUCGUUGUCAGCUUAACGGAGAUGAGAACCAGGGGAAAAGUUUGCCUCUCUCUGAUUUCUAUAGCAAUUACAAUUAUAUACUGUGUAUUUCCAUCAUACCUCCACACCAUAAAAACCACAGAACUUCUGUCAGGGUGAUACAGACAUUUACUAUAGUCAACAUAAGAUGCACGAAUUAAGGAGUAGAUUAAAGUCCUACUAACUUUUUUUUUUUCCUUCACAAGAUCCCAAUUAAAUUAAACCUAAAAAGAUAUUAAAACAUAAUGUAAUGCUAAAAUGGGAUGGAAAGUACCGCAGUAAUAGCAGGGCAGCAGUCUCCAGCUACAGCAAAUGAGAGCAAACCCAAGUACAGCAGCUACAGAAAUGAAGGAAAAGAGCCACUUACCUUUAGAAGGCCUCAGAUAUGCAAGAAUCCCCAGCAAAAAACAACAACAACAACAAAAAAACCCCUCACCUCCACUGCCAACCCUUAAAUGAGGUCUGGGAAGGUGUGGAUCCUGGCUCCACCUCUUCCAGACAUUCAGGUGCACUGCACUGCACUGCACUCGUGCUCCCCUGGGUUUGCCCUGCCUUCCACCAGGUGCUCAAUCACUGCUUGAGGUUGUGACACGUAUAAAUGCAACUGCUUUGUUUUCAGUGAAAAAAGGGUGUGAUAGAAGUAACCCUAGAAGAAGGUAACAAUAUGCUAAGGAAAUAGCUAUUCUGGGGCACUUCAUUCCUCGUGUAGAGAGGUUGUUGAGAUAAUGGAGGAACAGAUAGUCUCACAGUAGACUUCUCCAUGGAGUUUCCUGUAGCCUGUGUUUCUCAGUUUCUGCUUCGUAUUGAAGUAGCUUAUCUAAUGCAACUUUCUGUGUUUCAAGACUGCAUGAAGUCUGCAACACAAGCAUGCUGAAAUUGCAUCAGUCUGACAAAAGCAAGGUGGUAGAUAAAAAACAUCUAUUUGUAUUUGAGCUUGCAAGCUAGCAAGUACCUGCAGUGUUUCUUUUCGUAUUCUUUUUUUGUAUAUUCUGCUCUUAAGGCAUGCUAUUGUUCCUUAGUGGGUGUGUUCUGUAACAUAAAACAACUGAAAAUACAGUCUCCUUGGAGCUUACAUAAACCACUAGCAUCCCCCUGGAGAGCAUAUUUUGGGAAGCUCUUAAAUGAAGUGUUCUGCUGGGAGCGUGGCAGUGGUGCUUCUGUACCAACUGACCGUGGCUGAUGAAGUGUGAAAACUGAUGCCUUCUCCUGUGUCAGCAACAUUCAAUUGGCAGGACUGGGGAAGAGCAAUAGGGAACAAGCUGUCAUUUUUUUCAAGUAUGCAUUCAGAGUGAUAGCAAAUCAUAAUUUGGUUUAGAAUUGUUGAGUCUUAUACAAACAAAAUUCCCUGCUAGAUAAUUCUUAAAAUAGUAUUUUUUAGGUCUUAUUAUUGCCUGAGGUUGUUUGGUGUUGUCACAUCCUGAAUAGGCAAUUCUAAAACAGCACAGGAAUGUUAUAAUUUAUUUAUUAAAAAAUGUACUUGUUGCUAAGCUUCACUCAGUGUUUUGCAAGGCAAUUACAAUUCACAUUUUGCCUCUAUAUUUAUUAUGAAGUUACUAAGCUGGAAAAACAACAACGAAAACCAAACUGAGUCUGUAUUUAGCAAAUAGAGUUAAAAGGUAAUAAUCUUUGAUGUAUAACUAUGCUUUCCAUGUCAGUUGAUUUUUUUUCCCCAAAUGUAUUUAUAUUACUUGAUUUGAUGUCUCCUUUUUGGUGGCUCUUGUUUCUUCUUCUGUCUUACUUAGUUUAAAGAAAAAAAAAUCAUAUUUUCCAAGUGGUGUAAAUGUUGUGUCAUCUUUAACUUAGGAAGAAGUAGCUUCUGAUAUGCCUCUAUCUUAAUGAUUUCUUUGUUGUGGCUGAAGUCACUGGUGAAUUCUUUCCUCUGCCAACAUUUUUAAUGAUUAGAAUACAUCAGUUUUGGAAGAGACUGCCAGUUCUUAACUCCUAGAAAUAAUCCCUUAUUUUAUCAGUGUUGUUCACCCAAACAGAUAAACCAAUUAAGUAUGAGAAUAGGUAGAAUCAAGACCCAGGGUUAGGUCACAUUAAAUCCUAUUUUACAGCCAUUGCUUGCUAUAUAGAUGCAUGCCCAAGCACUUGCAGUGGGAUGUGUUGACUUCUGUGUGGAAGUCAGUGCAUAUGAGAAGAUCAUUAGGACUGCAAAGAGCCACACAGAAGUUACCAAACACCAGCAUUACGGUUAAUUCUGUGCAGCGUAAUGUCCUUUGGUGCACGCAUUGCAAUCACUUAGAAUGCUGUAUGAUGGUGGAUCCUCCCACUCCAGAAGGUCACCCCUGCGAAUGAGACUGUUCCCUUUGUUCCUCACCUUCAGCCCUGUUGCAGUUCUCAGCUUUCUCCAGAUCCUCCAGCUACCCAUCUCCUUCUCCAGUGAGCCAGGACAAGGCAUUCUGGCACUCAGUACCUCUUCCUUCCUUCUCCUGCUUGGAUCCUCCCUGUUACUGCUCCUUUUUUUGCUCACCACCUGCCGUGGACCGCUCAUCACAGGAGGCCUGAAAGGACUGCUGUCUCCCUUGAACAGAAUCGUUGUGGCUUUCUUUAUUUUUCUUUAACAACCACUGGGGGGUUCUUCUUUCACUGCUAUUGCUGCGCACAGUGAUGGGUCGCUGUGGGUAGAGGAAGAACGUCGCCGCUCUGGCUCUGCUGCUUGACUUUUGUCACGAUAGGGCACAAUGCCUGUUGUGAACAGGGGAGUAAGAUCUGAGAGAAAUUGAUUCUCCAAACAAACUUUUCAGAGGCGUAGCAAUAGCAUCAUUUGAGCUAUUUUUUUUUUUUUAAUCGGGAAUCUGUUCUCCCCUUUUGAUUCCUCUACAGAAGUUCGGAUCAGCUGUGAAAUAAGACGACAUUUGGACUUCCUGAAGGAGAGGGUCCUUUCCCUUCACAUUAACAAGGAGUCAGGACGUGAGGCCUGCACCUGUCUUCACAUUUCUGGGAGAAGUGACUGAAGUUCAGACAGUGAACAAGUAACUGAGAACAAGCAUCAGAUAAACCCAGAAGCUGUGCUGCACCUUUGGGAAGACAUUCUGAUGCACUGAAAGACUUCACUCAUUGGUGUACCUAGAGAAGCUUUCCCUAUGGUUAGUUGCUGGCUCCUGAAGUUUGGGGAAGGGAAGAAAAGGCAUACUGUAUACAUUAUAACAAAUUAUCUGGAGGAUUUAGAGGAGUCUUUUAAGCAUCAGUUCAUAUUCAAGUCUGAUGAUACUUAAUAAUAAUGGCUCCUGUUAAAGGUGGGUGGUAAUUCCAUUUAAUGAAGGUAGUUACUGGUGACAGUCUUUUUCACAGAGCUCUUUUUAACUCCUGCUAUCAUUGCUUUUAUUAUUUCUUUGGCUGUGACACAUGCAUAGAAAUCUAAUUGUAGAUGCUGCUACUUUUCAGGAUAUUUGAACUUGCUUGUUAACCUCUAUGAACAAUAUCAUCCAUUUCUUCCUUUCUGUGCUAAUUACCUACCAACAGGUGCAAUCUCAUGCCAGCAUACUAUUUAGCAGCGCUUCACGUCCUUGCCAACUCAAUGGAUAUAUUCACUGUUAAAAUGUGUGGCACUGUGGUUCCUGAGCACUUACAUGCAUUUUAUGGGGGAACGUUUGGCUUUUCGUGGAGUUUAUGGCUGCCGGGGAAGCAGCAUUAGUGUAAAAUGGUGUUUUCAGUCAGGAAUUCUUUUUACUGAUGAAAGAAGGCUUUCUGGUAAUAUCCAAAUUAAAAAGCUCCCAUUAACACCUGUAAUUUUGCCAUCUCAGAAGAAGGUUGCUCUGAUACACAGAAGAGCUGCACAGUAUAGUAAUUGCAGUCUUGGGGCAUAACUUCUGUUUUAGUUUCAACAGAGAUAAGGCAGUUUACCCAGUCAGAAACUGCUCUGUAAUGUGAACCAAGCAGGGGUAAGUUAGGAUGAUUAGGAUAUAUUUGCUCCAGAAUUGGACUUCUCAUCAAAACAAAAACACUAAGCCACUGUUAACCCAAAGCAUGUCAGUGAUACAAGCGCAGCGCUUCUUUUAGAUCUCCAGUGCUUGACUGGCUACCCGGAAAAAGAGUUUAAAGAGCUGAACUCUCAUCUGCCUCAUUUCAAAGACAUCUGAUGUCCUGUGAAGAACAUGAAGGCAGUUUUUACCUGUGUUUCUGUCAGCUCCUAAACUGGCUUAAAAUGGUGGCAGGGGUAUGUGUGUGUGUUAUGGGGGGGGGGGGGGGGUGGUAAAGAGACAGGAACCCUAAGAAGUCUACACAUUCUUAUGCUGGAACUGAAGUUAGGCACACUUUGGCCCAGUCCUUGACACCACUUCUAAAUACAAGGUUCCAUGUGGCUAGGCUGGUGGUUCUGAAGACUUGCUAGAAACACACGUCUGUUUCUCAUGCAUGCAAAUUUGGCCCUUCUUAAUUCAUUUAAGAAAGUCGUCCUAAAGAAAAUAGAAAAGAUGAAAUGUAAUCCCUGAAGUAACUUACAUUCCCCUAGCGUUAAUUGAACAGGAUUUUAAGAAGAUUAAAAAUACUUUCAAUCAGAUAUGAAGUAUGUUUAAUCUUUUAUUGCAAAAUCUCUUGUUGCUAAAUGUCAGGAAAGAAGCUAUUCUAAGGACAUGGAAAAGAACAGCUAAUGACUAAUCGAGGUGAGCUUAUUUUCCUGAAGUUUGGUGCUGUGGGAGUGCUAAUGUGCUUAAGUUGAAAGUAUCGUUAACCACUGUUUAUCUACAUCUCUUCUGAAUCGGGUUAAAUAAGCCUGUAGUUAAAAUCCAUACAGUCUAUACUAACUCCCACUGUAGCUUACAGCAGCAUUAGCAAAAGUGAAGCAUUUUGCAAAUACUCACAAAUGCAGUGCUUUACAUUCAAAUGCACAAGAAAAGUGAAAAUUCUGCCCCUGCUUAGCAAACUUACAAGGCACCAACAUAUGCUAAAGAGCACUGUAAUGCCUGCAGAAGGCCUCUUCCAAUUUCUUGAACACAUAAGAGCUCUUUUUUUUUGAUUGCUCUGGUUAAGGCUCAUGAUGUAAAGGACCCGUUCACAAGCAGGUAAGAGAAAUCACAACGUUCAUCUUCAUAAAUUGCAUUUCUAUUUUAAAUAAAACUGCAUUCUAUGCGAUAGAGGCAGAAGUCCAUCUCUGAGUUAGAACCCGUGUGACAUUUUUAUGAAUUUGAGAGCAGGAAGGAAGUAUAUGAAUGCUUGUAUUUCUGUGAAAGGAUCAAAAGGUGCUGGUAGGUAAGGUAAGCUAGCAUUACCUACAGAGAAGUAACAGCAGCAAAAGAGGCAGUACGUCUUUUUGAAGGUCAAGCAAUCAAUCAGUAGAAGAAUAGUCUGUUGCCAGGCCCAGGUAUUUCUCAUAAAAUUACACUUGCCUUUUUGAGCCUGGAGACCUCGUUUCCUCUUUUCUCCUCCCAAAUAAUUUUGUCUCUCUAUUUUUGUCUUUUGCUCUUUUCCACUUUCUUUCUUUACUUAGCCUCUGACUUUCUCUGAUGCGAUAAAAAGGACAAAAGGAAGAGCCUACAGGAACCAGCGCAGCCAGACUCUUGUCUUUGUCCAGCACUGCCUUUUAAUUUGUGUGAGAGAACAGCAGGAGAGAUCACUUCAUGCUGUGUGUAUUGCUGGCAUGCGGAGUCAGGAAAAACAGACGCUCCUGAUUUGCUUUGAGAAUGACUCCCUAAUCCAGGAUGCUCUUCUGUUAAUGAAGCAGCCCCAUGGUGCUAGGGCAGCCCAGUAACUUUUGUUAUAAUAUUUAAAUCCUGUGCACACAGCAGCAUUUCUUGCCAGCUCUGCUCUUGUUACAUUUAUAAGUGUGUUAGGUUUUCAGGUUUUCAUUUUUUAAGUUAUCCCAAUAAAAAAAGAGAUGAGUCUUUCUCACUGAUUUGUGAUCAUCCUGUUUUUGUCACAGUUGUCUUAUUUUGAAUGUAAAUGACCUAGAUUUAAUUUUCUAACCCGAAAAGGAGGUGUAACGUAGAAGAUCCAACAACUAAAACUAUGCAAAAUAUACUUUUAUGUCCUUG
ensembl:lncRNA